AGCAUGNGGUUUANUUCGAUGCAACGCGAAGAACCUUACCUACUCUUGACAUCCACAGAAUUCGGCAGAGAUGCCUUAGUGCCUUCGGGAACUGUGAGACAGGUGCUGCAUGGCUGUCGUCAGCUCGUGUUGUGAAAUGUUGGGUUAAGUCCCGCAACGAGCGCAACCCUUAUCCUUUGUUGCCAGCACGUAAUGGUGGGAACUCAAAGGAGACUGCCGGUGAUAAACCGGAGGAAGGUGGGGAUGACGUCAAGUCAUCAUGGCCCUUACGAGUAGGGCUACACACGUGCUACAAUGGCGUAUACAAAGAGAAGCGAACUCGCGAGAGCCAGCGGACCUCAUAAAGUACGUCGUAGUCCGGAUCGGAGUCUGCAACUCGACUCCGNGAAGUNGGAAUCGC
rnacentral:rRNA from 1 species